UAACAAAUAAGAAGAAAAUACAUGAUUUUUUACUAGUCAACAAGUAGAGACAUGAAUGACUAACAUAGAAAAAGGGCUUGUACUAAAAUGCAACAGAAUAAAUACGGCGUGAGUGUAAUUAUAAAAGCAAAGAAAUAGGCAUGAUAUUUGCAAGUUAAACAAACAGAAGAUAUGAGCGACAUAACAACAAUUAAUAUAGAGAUAAAUGACAGAACAAUAACAACUAGUCAUAUCAGAUAUGAGAUUGCGACAAUAACAGCUUAAGGUAAAGACAUGUACAUAUACACGGAAAAACAGAUAUCACAACAUAAUGCAUGUCCCUCAUCCUUACCUGCACGGAAACACCCAUCGUGCCAUGACCUCACGAUGAUAUAACAGUAUAAAUAAAAUGGCACGGCAUCACUCUUUGUUCUUUACACUCUCAUAACAUGGCACGACAUCACCCUCCAUGCUUUACACUCUCCCUCACAUGAUAAUGUACAAACAAUGGCACGACAUCACCCUUCAUGCUUUACACUCUUCCUUACCAAGCAUAUGUAUAUCAAUGACAACAAGGCAGGAAGCAUAAAUAACAUCAAUGAGAGUAUUUUAAUAGAUAUUCCAAACAAAUCUCAAUCACAACUUUCCAAGUCAACAAUGAUUUAACAACCCUCAAUAACCGUACUAUUCAAAUACUUCCACAAAUCUCACAAAUAAUUGACAACACAAGUAUAGAGUCUAGUAUCUCAAGAAUAUCGGCCAUAGUAACGUAGUAAUGAUUUCACAUAGAAAUGACCGAAUCAGACACAUCAAUGUAUUCUCAGAAUUUCCGCCAAGUUUGAUCAAGUUAUGAUAAGCUAAGUCUUGAUUUCUAUCAUUUGAUAUUGUGUUCUUAGUAUCUAAGAGUCAAGUGAGGCAUGAAGCAGGAAGGUCAUGAAAUUCUACAAAUACAAAUGUAACAUAAUCCAGCCCCCGAGCAUGAUUAACUCUGGCACAUAUAUAUACACCCGUCACCUCAUAUAUGUAUCAUCCCCACAUGUAGCAAACAAUGACAAAUAGGAGGAAAAAUUCCCGCAACAAAGUUAGGCAAAACACUUACCUCAAUUCGGCUAACUCAACACUCAAUUUAGCCUUUUUCCUUUACAAAUUCGCCUCUGCCCGGCUCAAUCUAGCCAACGACGACUUGAAUACAUCACACAAUGCAAGAGAAAAUAAUUUCAAUUAAUAAUGCUGUGAUUUUUAUUAGAUUUCUAAAAGUCAACAAAAGUCGAACUUCGGGCCUGCCCGGUCAAAAUCUGGAUCCAAGGGUAGGUCUUGACUAGCCAUAACCUCACGAGUCCAAAUACAUACAUAUAUAUAUAUAUAUAUAUAUAUAUAUAUAUAUUACUCUUUUUUUUGAAAUCCGAGUACUAUUCGACUCUCAAAUCCUAAAUUUUUAUUUUUCAAAACUUUGACAAAAUCUCAAAAAAAAAUUCCAUAGAUUCCUCAUGAAUUUGAUGUUAAAUCUUAUAUAAAAUCAUGAAAUAUAGUUGGAAAUUGAUUAGAAGCACUUACUCAAUGAUUUGGUAUGAAAAUCCCUUUCACAAAAUCGCCUCUCAUUGAAGUUAGGGAUCAAAAUAUAUGAAAAUGAAGCUAAGUCUCGAAAUUCUCAGCACUUAACACGUUGCAGAUGUCGCAUUUGCGAUAGGGGGUUCGCAAAUGCGAACAAUGUAUCGCAAAUGCAGACUGGAGGGCCUCCUGCUUAGGUCGCAAUUGCGACCAUAUGUCACACCUCCUUUUUCCCUACACCCCGUAGAGGGUAUAAGGGAGUUUUUUCCAAUUUAAGUGACAAUCGAAACGGGAUUAUUUAUUUAUUAAAAAUCAGAGUCGCCACUUGGGAUAAUUUAUGGUGUCCCAAGUCACCGAUUUAAAAUCCCGAAUCGAGGAAGUUGACUCUUAUUUAUGGUCCGCGAACACAGAAAUCCGGGUAAGGAAUUUUGUUAACCCGGGAGAAGGUGUUAGGCACUCCCGAAUUCCGUGGUUUUAGCACGGUCGCUUUGAUCAUACUUGGCUUAUAAAAAUUAUAUAAUUACUGAUUUUAGAACCUAUGUGCCUUUACCGCUUACCGCUUUUAAACUAAGAAAAAUUAUCUUGAAAUAGGUCACGCGUAUGUGUACCCAUUUGUUUGGCGCGUCAAGAAUUAUGUCACGUGUGCGUGUACACACAAUUCACAUCGCUUAAUUAAUUAUUAAGAAAAAUUUAGCCAAAGUUGCGCGAACGCAUACUUUGAAUUAGUUUUUAGAAUCGUAAUUAUGUUACGCGAACGUAUACACAAUCACGGGGAGAGAUUAGUAUCAGUACACAAAUAGUACAAAAGAACCCGUUUUUACUAUCAACAUAUUUUCACUUUUCGUAAUAGGUCAUCUACAAUAUUUUAGUAUUUUACAAGUCAUCGGUUGCAUUUUCUAUAAAAGCUACUUGGAACUUAUGUCAUAGCAACCGAAAAGCUUUUCCAGAUUCACGACAAAUUAAGAGUAAUCCUUUUGAACUCCCAAAUCUUCUUCUAUCAUACCAAUUAGUGGGAUUCAACAGCCUUAAAAAAAAUAGCACAAAUAGGUACAAUACUACAAUAAUCUAAGUAAUGAGCAAAUUCCAAAAAACAAUUGCACAAAGGAACAGAGAAAGCACCUAAACAACAAUAACAAAUUAGUCAAUGUUUAAACUAAAUUGCACUAAUGCAUGAUUCCCAGCCACAAUCCGAAUAUAAUUUAUUAGUAUACGUUAAUUGCACCUUCUCCAUUUUUGAGGGCAAUGGUGUGCCGCUCGAGAAGGAAUUGGUCCAGUAGAACAAAUUCUUCAAACGGAAAAUGACACCCAAAAAUAAAUAAAGCAUAGGAGAUAGUGAGAAGCAAAAAUUCAGUCAUUAAAACUUUGUGACACUAAUUAAUAGUUAAGGAAAUAACCACAUUUACAAAUUGCUUCAAUGCACUCGUUUCUGCCAGAAAUUGAAUGAGGAAAAGAAAAGGAAUCUGACCGUGAAAUGCAACAGUAGCAGGAGCUCGGACCGCGAAACCCGUCGGCAACCUCGAACUCGAACUCGCGCUUUACGAUUUGAACACCCAAAUUCCUAAAUUCAAAUUAUUCGGAACGAAGUUAGGCCAAAGUCGUUCUCCUCUGCUGUCUCCCACAAUUUUCGUUUGUGCUUGCGUGUGUGGAGUGACUUUCUUAAUUCUGGAGAGGAAAGGACGAUGAAGAUCUGAAAUGGGAGGGGGUUCUUUUUUGAUAAAAUUGGCAGAUGGUGUUUUUAGAGCCCCCUUCAAUUUAGGGAUUAGGUACUAUUAUAUAGGCAUAGGGAUUAAGUUAAAGGGUAUGAGCCUAGAAAUUAUGGGCUAGGGAGUUGUGGGUUAGGUCCAACAUUAGGCCUAAAAAUGG
rnacentral:lncRNA from 1 species